CAUUAAUGAGUUGUGAUGGGGUUGAUGCUGGCAGCCAAUUUUUUGGGUGCAUGUGCUCGCCCUGACAAUCAUCUUCCAAACACCUGUGCACAUUUUUGAGGGAGUUUCGAGUCGAUUGCUGCCUUUUGGCGAUUUUCUUGAAUUCCCUUAAAUCAUUAUACGCUGUUAGCAAAUGUUGAACGUGCUUUGUGCCGCAAGGCCAUUAAUAUAAUACAACUUUUAACAACGGAUCUCUUGGCUCUCGCAUCGAUGAAGAACGCAGCGAAAUGCGAUAAGUAAUGUGAAUUGCAGAAUUCAGUGAAUCAUCGAAUCUUUGAACGCACCUUGCGCUCCCUGGUAUUCCGGGGAGCACGCCUGUUCGAGUGUCGUGAAAUUUCUCAAAGCUUGGAUGGCCUUUUUUUGUCUGUCCUUAGCCUUGGUUGUUGGGCUUUGCCGUGUCCUGUAUUGGGACGGCUGGCCUUAAAAACAUUAGCUGAUCCUUGUGCGGCACUGGUUCUACUCAGCGUGAUAAUAGUCUGAUCGCUGAGGACGUCUUUUGGGAUGGCCAGUGCUCAUUUGGGUUGCUUAUAGACCUGGUCUUGCAGAUUCUUCAAUCUGUGGUUCCACUUUUCAGCUUUGACCUCGAAUCAGGUGGGACUACCCGCUGAACUUAAGCAUAUCAAUAAGCGGAGGAAAAGAAACUAACAAGGAUUCCCCUAGUAACGGCGAGUGAAGCGGGAAGAGCUCAAAUUUAAAAUCUGGCAAUCUUUGGUUGUCCGAAUUGUAAUCUAGAGAAGCGUUUUCCGUGCUGGACUGUGUACAAGUUUCCUGGAUACGGAACAUCAUAGAGGGUGAGAAUCCCGUCCUUGACACAGACCCCCAGUACUUUUGUGAUGCGCUCUCGACGAGUCGAGUUGUUUGGGAUUGCAGCUCAAAAUGGGAGGUAAAUUCCUUCUAAAGCUAAAUAUUGGCGAGAGACCGAUAGCGAACAAGUACCGUGAGGGAAAGAUGAAAAGCACUUUGGAAAGAGAGUUAAACAGUACGUGAAAUUGUUAAAAGGGAAACGCUUGAAGUCAGUCACGUUUGCUUGGACUCAGCCUUACUUCGGUUUGGUGCAUUUCCUUGCGGACGGGCCAGCGUCCAUGUUGUUUGCCGGAGAAGGGGUGAGAGAAUGUGGCUCCUUUGGGAGUGUUAUAGCUCUUGCUCGUAUGCGGGGAAUGAUAUGGAGUGGUACAGCACACUUUGGUGGUGCUUGUGCUGGCAUAAUGGCUUUAAACGACCCGUCUUGAAACACGGACCAAGGAGUCUAACAUGUCUGCGAGUGUUUGGGUGGAAAACCCGGGCGCGUAAUGAAAGUGAUGGCUGGGAACCCCUUUUGGGAGGCACCGGCGCCCCGAGCUGACCUUCUGUGACGCAUCGGAGGCAGAGCAUACAUGUUGGGACCCGAAAGAUGGUGAACUAUGCC
rnacentral:rRNA from 1 species